GGGCCAGUAGCUCAGUUGGUUAGAGCACUUCUCUGAUAAGGAAGGGGUCACUAGUUCAAAUCUAGUCUGGCCCA